rnacentral:rRNA from 1 species
AUUGAACGCUGGCGGCAUGCUUUACACAUGCAAGUCGAACGGCAGCGCGGGCUUCGGCCUGGCGGCGAGUGGCGAACGGGUGAGUAAUGCAUCGGAACGUGCCCAGUAGUGGGGGAUAGCCCGGCGAAAGCCGGAUUAAUACCGCAUACGACCUGAGGGUGAAAGCGGGGGACCGAAAGGCCUCGCGCUAUUGGAGCGGCCGAUGUCGGAUUAGCGAGUUGGUGGGGUAAAGGCUUACCAAGGCGACGAUCCGUAGCUGGUCUGAGGGGACGACCCGCCACACUGGGACUGAGACACGGCCCAGACUCCUACGGGAGGCAGCAGUGGGGAAUUUUGGACAAUGGGGGCAACCCUGAUCCAGCCAUGCCGCGUGCGGGAAGAAGGCCUUCGGGUUGUAAACCGCUUUUGUUCGGGAAGAAAUACUCUGGGCUAAUACCCCGGGGGGAUGACGGUACCGGAAGAAUAAGCACCGGCUAACUACGUG